rnacentral:lncRNA from 1 species
CCUCUGCCGGAUCUCCUGUGCCGCUGGGGUUUGGGUUAUGUAUUGCAGACUUGCUUCUGCACCCGAGUGAAUACAAAUAUCAGCAAGUUGGCUUUUGUUUGUUUUAGCUCUUCUGCUAGAGGCCUGAUCCAAAGCUGUCAGCUUUUGGCGAACACCACCGAGGAAUAUUUAUUUUCUAGAGGGGAAACAGUCCGAGCAGAAAACCCAGACUACUCUGACUAUUCCUUCCUGGUAAGAGGUAAGAUUUCUUAAGUGUAAAGGUAAAUACUAACCCUAAGUCUCGCUCUCACCUCUCACUUUCUAAUGUGGAGGUGCUCAAAAUCUAUUGGAGAUCCCCACAUAACUGGAGUUUUCCUUUAAGGAAAAACCUUUUCCUUUCCACUGAUGCUUUUCCUUUGCAUCAGUGCAAAGACCUUUUCCGUUAUAGUACGGAAUUGCUCAGAAUAAUCUGUAGAGAAGAAAAAAUUUUGCUGAAAUAAGUUGGGAUGUUGCUUAUUUUCAGGGAAUUAGUGUGAAAUGAGGACUGUCUCUUAAAUUUCUGCUGGAUCAUGUCUUCCUUCAAUUUUGUUUAACAAAAAUUAAUAUGGUAUUUUAAAUUUCACCUUGCUGUUGCAUGUAAGCCACUGCUCUGCCAGCGAGUCAAAUAAGGAAAAGUCUUAAAAGUAAUUCACUUUCAGAAAUAUGCACUUGUUACUUUUUAGAUAUUGAUAUUUUCAACUCCCAGUUUCAUGCUUAUCUGAAGAAAUG